rnacentral:misc_RNA from 1 species
UCCGGUUUUUCACCGGCAGUCCCUUUAGAGUGCCCAGCUUGACCUGAUGGCAACUAAAGGCAGGGGCUGCGCUCGUUGCGGGACUUAACCCAACAUCUCACGACACGAGCUGACGACAGCCAUGCACCACCUGUGCACUGGUCCCGAAGGAGGGCCGUAUUUCUACGACAUUCCUGUGCAUGUCAAGCCCUGGUAAGGUUCUUCGCGUUGCGUCGAAUUAAAGAACAUGCUCCGCUGCUUGUGCGGGCCCCCGUCAAUUCUUUUGAGUUUUAGCCUUGCGGCCGUACUCCCCAGGCGGAACACUUAUCGCGUUGGCUUCGGCACAGACAGAUUCGACUCCGCCCACACCUAGUGUUCAUCGUUUACGGCGUGGACUAC